rnacentral:rRNA from 1 species
GUGGGGAAUCUUGCGCAAUGGGCGAAAGCCUGACGCAGCCAUGCCGCGUGAAUGAUGAAGGUCUUAGGAUUGUAAAAUUCUUUCACCGGGGACGAUAAUGACGGUACCCGGAGAAGAAGCUCCGGCUAACUUCGUGCCAGCAGCCGCGGUAAUACGAAGGGGGCUAGCGUUGCUCGGAAUUACUGGGCGUAAAGGGCGCGUAGGCGGACAGCUUAGUCAGAGGUGAAAGCCCAGGGCUCAACCUUGGAAUUGCCUUUGAUACUGGCUGUCUUGAGUUUGAGAGAGGUGAGUGGAACUCCGAGUGUAGAGGUGAAAUUCGUAGAUAUUCGGAAGAACACCAGUGGCGAAGGCGACUCACUGGCCCAAUACUGACGCUGAGGCGCGAAAGCGUGGGGAGCAAACAGGAUUAGAUACCCCAGUAGUCC